rnacentral:piRNA from 1 species
UAUUAGUGAUUUCUUGGGGGACAUGAC